GCAGUCGAGCGGACGUUUUGUCGGUGCUUGCACCGACUUAACGUUAGCGGCGGACGGGUGAGUAACACGUGGGCAACCUGCCCUGUAGUCUGGGAUAACUCCGGGAAACCGGGGCUAAUACCGGAUGAUACUUUUUAACUCAUGUUAGAAGGUUGAAAGAUGGUUUACGCUAUCGCUACAGGAUGGGCCCGCGGCGCAUUACCUAGUUGGUGAGGUAACGGCUCACCAAGGCGACAAUGCGUACCCAACCUGAAAGGGUGAUCGGCCACACUGGGACUGAAACACGGCCCAAACUCCUACGGGAGGCAGCAGUAGGGAAUCUUCCACAAUGGGCGAAAGCCUGAUGGAGCAACGCCGCGUGAGUGAAAAAGGAUUUCGGUUCGUAAAACUCUGUUGUAAGGGAAAAACAAGUACAGUAUUAACUGGCUGUACCUUGACGGUACCUUAUUAAAAAGCCACGGCUAACUACUUGCCAGCAGCCGCGGUAAUACGUAGGUGGCAAGCGUUGUCCGGAAUUAUUGGGCGUAAAGCGCGCGCAGGCGGUCCUUUAAGUCUGAUGUGAAAGCCCACGGCUCACCCGUGGAGGGUCAUUGGAAACUGGGGGACUUGAGUGCAGAAAAGGAAAGUGAAAUUCCAAGUGUAGCGGUGAAAUGCGUAUAGAUUUGAAGAAACACCAGUGGCGAAGGCGACUUUCUGGUCUGUAACUGACGCUGAGGCGCGAAAGCGUGGGGAGCAAACAGGAUUAGAUACCCUGUUAGUCCACGCCGUAAACGAUGAGUGCUAAGUGUUAGGGGGUUUCCGCCCCUUA
rnacentral:rRNA from 1 species